AGGACAUUUGUUGGCCCAGGGGUAUGGACCUCAGCUGCACCAUGGGAGCUGUGUUUAGGUGCGUCACAUGGAAGGAUGGAGGCGAGCACUUACAUGGGACUGGUGCCUAAAUUUGAGCACU